AGAUUCUGGGAAUAUGGUGGCUGUUGCCUUGGCAAUGGGUGUGUGGGUCAAGCCUAUGUGAUGUCACAGGUUUCAGAGGUCCUGAUACCAACCAUGGCUCUCACCCACUAUCACAGCAUCUGCCAGCCUAAAACAGGUAGAGAGACAGGAAUUCAAGGUCACCCCAAACAAGUGGAUUGCCUUGAGUUGGAGGUCAGCCUGGCCCCCUUCUCAAAGCCACUCAUUCCCUGAGGAGGAAGAGCCCUGGAGUCCAGACCUCAGGGUAUAGGAGAACUAUUGAAGCCUUCAGGAAUGCAGGGCUCUCCACUUAACCUCCAGCAGAAAACAGAUCCCAGUAACAGAGACAUCAGCUGAGCCUGCUUCCUUGUUGGCCAGAAACUUCCCUAGUUUUAGCUGGGAGAGUCCCCACAUCCUGGAAAAGCCUUCCAUCCUAGACAGGAUCUACUGAGAACGGAGUGGUGUUCAGGCGGAGAGGAACCACGACCGGAGAGUGCAGUACAGAAAGCCAUCAAAGAUACCAUGAGAGAAGCCAGUUAGUUGAAAGACUGGAAACCGCUCACACAGGGGACAUGUGGGACACAGAGAAAGCCUGGAAAAAAGCACGUCUAUCCAAAUGUGUCACAAGGCUGAGAUGGUGUGAAUGGCCUGUGAAGGGUCACGAGGUCCCAGUCCUUAGCUGCUCUCCAGCCCAUUUCCAUCCUUGGGAGUACCUUUGCUUUCUAAAUGAGCAGCUUCUGUUUCUGUCCCUAUCCAUGUGUCCCUAGUCCCAUUCGUUGUCUCUGCAUAUAAUAAGCACCUUAAAAUCUCUGAGGUGCCCUCUGAACUCAGAGCCAUGCAUGUAAACCUCCCAUGGCCUCUGAUUGCCCCUGGCUGGGAAGUUUGCUUUGGUGGCUCAGCUGGGCCACUGCCCUUUCUGGAUUGUGGGUACCCUCAUCCACACCAAAUUCCCUUCUGGUCACCAGAGGUCCCUGAGGUAAUAUUAUGUACUCCACUAAGAGCCAAAGCGAGCCUACCUGACCGCAUGACCCCACCUGACUUCUGCAGGCCACAGAGGCCAAGCCAGGUAAAUACCCCCCACUCCUGGCUCUGCUGUUCAGCUUCGUGCCCACUGGACAUAUGCCAGUCAUGACCUCGAGGGCAGGGGCCCCAGGACCUCGCCUACCUCAUAGGGAUCCUAACUCUUUCUUUCUCUGUUUCCUGCAUGGCACAAGGCCACAGGGCAGCUACCAGGACAGGCCACGAGUCUGGGACCUAAAAAGUCACUUUCGAGGC
rnacentral:lncRNA from 1 species